rnacentral:tRNA from 1 species
GCAGGUCUCGUUCAACGCAGGACGCCCGCGUUCCGCGCGGAAGAUGGAGGUGCGAACCCUUCGACCUGCU